rnacentral:lncRNA from 1 species
GUUGCUCAGACAGAAGCUGCUGCUAUAUUUUUUGUGUGGAUGCUGGGAAAGCAAAGGUAUUUUUAAAUGAGCAGACUCAGAGUCCCCGUCUUGAGCCUUGAGUGGGGCAAGCUUGUUCCCUGGAGAAUUAUGUAGACAUUUCACUACAAAGCAGACUUGGUCUAUAAUCUGGCAUUUGGAUGGUGCUAACCCCUGAAGAAGUUUUUCAGGUGUUCUUCCAUGAGGAUGUUGUACAUGGUAACUGCAAGCAUCGAAGACUUUCACUGCACAGAGGAUGUGAGGACUCAACUCAGCGCUGGGAAAACCUCCAAAGGUCUGGAUUGAAGAGAAGAGAUGUAAUGCCCAUACAUGGGGGUAAAAAAGCAUGAGGGACUGAUUGGGAAUCAAGCAUUCAGCCUACAGCCAUUAAAGGGAAACAGUUGGUUUGCCUUUUUCUUAAAGCCAUCAAGUUUCAGCUACUAUUUUUCAUGCAGUCACCCCUCCUCUAAGGUGUGUUACAUGUGGCUGUAACAUGUUUGUAGCCAGAAUUUUCUCUGGAACCAGCACACACAGAGCAAGAUGACUUUUUGGUGGUUCUGCAGUGGGAUACAGCUGCAGAGUGCAUACAGCCAGGUAAUGUGAAGGAAACUUUUCACCCCUUUCAUAACAAAGCCUGAAAUUACAGGAUCCUAAUUCUUUUCAAACUUUAA